GUGGGGAGCCUUUUUGAAAUAACAAGGAUUCAGUGGAGAGGUCAUGAAUAUAACUAAGCAUACUCCUCAAGACAUUAAAGCUUCAAGGAAACUGUCGUGGACCUACCUAUAUCUAGAAGUUCUUGUUGGAGUUGAAAGGACAAAUGAAAAGAAUAAUGAACUGGCGGAAUUCCAUAGGAACUGGAAUGGCCUCCAGGAAUUGAUGCAGAGAGCAAAAGGAUCAGAACCAGAACAUUGUAUACAGAGACUGAUAAGUUACAGCACAAUCAAAUGUACUAUACUUUUCUACCAGCAGCAAUGCAAUGACCCAGGACAAUCCAAAGGAACUUGUGAGAAAGAAUGUUAUCCUCAUCCAGAGAAAGAACUAUGGAACCAGAAAUGCAUUAGAAAAAUAUAUCCUUAAUCACAUAGUGAGAUAGGGAUGUGAUUAGGAUUUUAAUAUUAAAGGGUCACUCUACUGCAAAUAUGAAUAACAGAAAUAUAUUUUGAACAAUGAUACAUGUAUAAUCCACUGGAACUGCUUGUUGGCUCUGGAAGUGGGGAAGAGAAAGCACGGGAUGGGGGACUCUGAAUCAUGUAACCAUGGAAAAAUAGUUUAAAUAAAAAUUACAAAAAGGAAUACA
rnacentral:lncRNA from 1 species